ensembl:rRNA 5S_rRNA 5S ribosomal RNA
GUCUACAGCCAUGCCACCCUCAAUAAGCCCGAUCCCAUCUGAUCUCCAAAGCUAAGCAGGAUCGGGGCUGGUUAGUACUUGGAUGGGGGACCACCUAGGAAGACCAGGUGCUGUAGGCA